rnacentral:rRNA from 1 species
CCUACGGGUGGCAGCAGUGGGGAAUAUUGGACAAUGGGCGAAAGCCUGAUCCAGCCAUGCCGCGUGUGUGAAGAAGGCCUUCGGGUUGUAAAGCACUUUCAGUGGGGAAGAAAGCCUUGGGGCUAAUACCCUCGAGGAAGGACAUCACCCACAGAAGAAGCACCGGCUAACUCCGUGCCAGCAGCCGCGGUAAUACGGAGGGUGCGAGCGUUAAUCGGAAUUACUGGGCGUAAAGCGCGCGUAGGCGGUCUGAUAAGCCGGUUGUGAAAGCCCCGGGCGCAACCUGGGAACGGCAUCCGGAACUGUCAGGCUAGAGUGCAGGAGAGGAAGGUAGAAUUCCCGGUGUAGCGGUGAAAUGCGUAGAGAUCGGGAGGAAUACCAGUGGCGAAGGCGGCCUUCUGGACUGACACUGACGCUGAGGUGCGAAAGCGUGGGUAGCAAACAGGAUUAGAUACCCGAGUAGUC